GUGAGUUCUUUUUUUGACAUAGAUAAAAUUGGAAAAAUAUGGAGAUGAUUAGCAUGGCCUUUGUGCAUGGAUGCACAAAUAGAGAAAUGAUCCUAGUUUUU